CCUCUUCAAGAACUGACCACCACCGACUCUCAUCGUUACAGUAUGCAUACCCAGGCCAGGCCACAAUAUGUGUAAAGACAUUCUCUUUGAUUCGAUACCCAAAAGUGAGUGUUGCCCCAAAAUCUCCCGGUUCAAUUUCUCAAGAACUCCUUGGGGAACACCAUAGAAGAUCAAAUUCUACCUAGGCUUUGUCUCUUGGCGUUUUGAGGAAUGAAUUCUGGAGAGCAAGCUUGAUCAGCUUUGUGGAGGCUCUUUGUGUUCUAAACCUGCUUGUAUGUUAGUUCUCAG